CUGGUGCAUGUCCACUAUCCUUUGAUGAAGUGGGGAAUGAAUGAGCUUGCAAGAGAAAGUCUUGAGCAGUGUAAGAUGGUGCAUUUCUGGGGUGCAAGACUGGGGGGAUUUGCUGGUGUUUCCCUGUGUAUGGUUCACAAAUGGCUUAGACCGCAUUUAUGCAAUUUAGCUGGGUGUGUCCUUGCAUGUUGUUGACUGAGUGACCAUAGCAUCUGAAGAGGUUACCCUACUUUUCAUUAGCAAAGCAUCAUGAGAGACAGCCCAGGCUGGAGAGUUAAAGGGGCUCAGCAGUUCCACAGUUCCAGAUUGUACCCCAGGGAUCCAAUCACCCCCACCCCACAAUGAAUAAGCAGACCUAAGCACAAGUUCACUUGAUGGGGGUUGGGUGCUGGGAUCAAAAUCUUAAAAUAUUCUGGCAAAUUUUUCAGGGGGGGUUUUUGUUUUUGUUUUUUUUAACUCUAAUUUUAAAUUUUCUCCUUCAGCUGUCUGAAUUCCAAACAUGGCUGUUUCAUGCUACAGUCUGAAUGGGAAACUGACUUGUAUAAUUCCUCUUUCCUAGAUAAUCCAGGAUUUGGUAUUUGCCUGCUUACCUGAGACCAUCUCUGCUAGUCCUUGCCACCAGGAGAGAGCAGAAAACUUAGUUCCAUACCCUGCACCUCACCUCUUCGUUUGACUUCCAACUUUAUCACUCCCCACUGCCUGUGCAAGCCAAGAGCCUCAGCUCCAGGCUGGAGAAGACCGUACUGGCCAGGCCAUCACCUGAUCAUGAAAAGGGAAACAUCUCUUCCUUUUCUGGUCUUCUGUUUCCUCAGUGUUUCUCUUUGGUUAGAAAAAUUCCAAAGCCUCCAAGCACUACAGUAAAAAUGAAUAAAUACCAAC